rnacentral:rRNA from 1 species
AACGAACGCUGGCGGCAGGCUUAACACAUGCAAGUCGAGCGCCCCGCAAGGGGAGCGGCAGACGGGUGAGUAACGCGUGGGAAUCUACCCAUCUCUACGGAAUAACGCAUGGAAACGUGUGCUAAUACCGUAUACGUCCUUCGGGAGAAAGAUUUAUCGGAGAUGGAUGAGCCCGCGUUGGAUUAGCUAGUUGGUGAGGUAAUGGCUCACCAAGGCGACGAUCUUUAGCUGGUCUGAGAGGAUGAUCAGCCACACUGGGACUGAGACACGGCCCAGACUCCUACGGGAGGCAGCAGUGGGGAAUAUUGGACAAUGGGCGCAAGCCUGAUCCAGCCAUGCCGCGUGAGUGAUGAAGGCCUUAGGGUUGUAAAGCUCUUUCACCGAUGAAGAUAAUGACGGUAGUGGGAGAAGAAGCCCCGGCUAACUUCGUGCCAGCCGCCGCCGUAAAAC